GGUUAAGCGACUAAGCGUACACGGUGGAUGCCCUGGCAGUCAGAGGCGAUGAAGGGCGUGCUAAUCUGCGAUAAGCGCCGGUAAGGUGAUAUGAACCGUUAUAACCGGCGAUACCCGAAUGGGGAAACCCAGUGUGAUUCGUCACACUAUCAUUAACUGAAUCCAUAGGUUAAUGAGGCGAACCGGGGGAACUGAAACAUCUAAGUACCCCGAGGAAAAGAAAUCAACCGAGAUUCCCCCAGUAGCGGCGAGCGAACGGGGAGGAGCCCAGAGCCUGAAUCAGCAUGUGUGUUAGUGGAAGCGUCUGGAAAGGCGCGCGAUACAGGGUGACAGCCCCGUACACAAAAGCGCAUGUGCUGUGAGCUCGAUGAGUAGGGCGGGACACGUGGUAUCCUGUCUGAAUAUGGGGGGACCAUCCUCCAAGGCUAAAUACUCCUGACUGACCGAUAGUGAACCAGUACCGUGAGGGAAAGGCGAAAAGAACCCCGGCGAGGGGAGUGAAAAAGAACCUGAAACCGUGUACGUACAAGCAGUGGGAGCACAGGUUUACCUGUGUGACUGCGUACCUUUUGUAUAAUGGGUCAGCGACUUAUAUUCUGUAGCAAGGUUAACCGUAUAGGGGAGCCGUAGGGAAACCGAGUCUUAACCGGGCGUUAAGUUGCAGGGUAUAGACCCGAAACCCGGUGAUCUAGCCAUGGGCAGGUUGAAGGUUGGGUAACACUAACUGGAGGACCGAACCGACUAAUGUUGAAAAAUUAGCGGAUGACCUGUGGCUGGGGGUGAAAGGCCAAUCAAACCGGGAGAUAGCUGGUUCUCCCCGAAAGCUAUUUAGGUAGCGCCUCGUGAAUUCAUCUCCGGGGGUAGAGCACUGUUUCGGCUAGGGGGCCAUCCCGGCUUACCAACCCGAUGCAAACUGCGAAUACCGGAGAAUGUUAUCACGGGAGACACACGGCGGGUGCUAACGUCCGUCGUGAAGAGGGAAACAACCCAGACCGCCAGCUAAGGUCCCAAAGUCAUGGUUAAGUGGGAAACGAUGUGGGAAGGCCCAGACAGCCAGGAUGUUGGCUUAGAAGCAGCCAUCAUUUAAAGAAAGCGUAAUAGCUCACUGGUCGAGUCGGCCUGCGCGGAAGAUGUAACGGGGCUAAACCAUGCACCGAAGCUGCGGCAGCGACACUGUGUGUUGUUGGGUAGGGGAGCGUUCUGUAAGCCUGUGAAGGUGUGUCGUGAGGCAUGCUGGAGGUAUCAGAAGUGCGAAUGCUGACAUAAGUAACGAUAAAGCGGGUGAAAAGCCCGCUCGCCGGAAGACCAAGGGUUCCUGUCCAACGUUAAUCGGGGCAGGGUGAGUCGACCCCUAAGGCGAGGCCGAAAGGCGUAGUCGAUGGGAAACAGGUUAAUAUUCCUGUACUUGGUGUUACUGCGAAGGGGGGACGGAGAAGGCUAUGUUGGCCGGGCGACGGUUGUCCCGGUUUAAGCGUGUAGGUGUGUGUUCCAGGUAAAUCCGGUUCACUUUAACACUGAGGCGUGAUGACGAGGCACUACGGUGCUGAAGCAACAAAUGCCCUGCUUCCAGGAAAAGCCUCUAAGCAUCAGGUAACAUCAAAUCGUACCCCAAACCGACACAGGUGGUCAGGUAGAGAAUACCAAGGCGCUUGAGAGAACUCGGGUGAAGGAACUAGGCAAAAUGGUGCCGUAACUUCGGGAGAAGGCACGCUGACACGUAGGUGAAGUGAUUUACUCAUGGAGCUGAAGUCAGUCGAAGAUACCAGCUGGCUGCAACUGUUUAUUAAAAACACAGCACUGUGCAAACACGAAAGUGGACGUAUACGGUGUGACGCCUGCCCGGUGCCGGAAGGUUAAUUGAUGGGGUCAGCGCAAGCGAAGCUCCUGAUCGAAGCCCCGGUAAACGGCGGCCGUAACUAUAACGGUCCUAAGGUAGCGAAAUUCCUUGUCGGGUAAGUUCCGACCUGCACGAAUGGCGUAAUGAUGGCCAGGCUGUCUCCACCCGAGACUCAGUGAAAUUGAACUCGCUGUGAAGAUGCAGUGUACCCGCGGCAAGACGGAAAGACCCCGUGAACCUUUACUAUAGCUUGACACUGAACAUUGAGCCUUGAUGUGUAGGAUAGGUGGGAGGCUUUGAAGCGUGGACGCCAGUCUGCGUGGAGCCGACCUUGAAAUACCACCCUUUAAUGUUUGAUGUUCUAACGUGGACCCGUAAUCCGGGUUGCGGACAGUGUCUGGUGGGUAGUUUGACUGGGGCGGUCUCCUCCUAAAGAGUAACGGAGGAGCACGAAGGUUGGCUAAUCCUGGUCGGACAUCAGGAGGUUAGUGCAAUGGCAUAAGCCAGCUUGACUGCGAGCGUGACGGCGCGAGCAGGUGCGAAAGCAGGUCAUAGUGAUCCGGUGGUUCUGAAUGGAAGGGCCAUCGCUCAACGGAUAAAAGGUACUCCGGGGAUAACAGGCUGAUACCGCCCAAGAGUUCAUAUCGACGGCGGUGUUUGGCACCUCGAUGUCGGCUCAUCACAUCCUGGGGCUGAAGUAGGUCCCAAGGGUAUGGCUGUUCGCCAUUUAAAGUGGUACGCGAGCUGGGUUUAGAACGUCGUGAGACAGUUCGGUCCCUAUCUGCCGUGGGCGCUGGAGAACUGAGGGGGGCUGCUCCUAGUACGAGAGGACCGGAGUGGACGCAUCACUGGUGUUCGGGUUGUCAUGCCAAUGGCACUGCCCGGUAGCUAAAUGCGGAAGAGAUAAGUGCUGAAAGCAUCUAAGCACGAAACUUGCCCCGAGAUGAGUUCUCCCUGAGACUUAGAGUCUCCUGAAGGAACGUUGAAGACGACGACGUUGAUAGGCCGGGUGUGUAAGCGCAGCGAUGCGUUGAGCUAACCGGUACUAAUGAACCGUGAGGCUUAACCUU
rnacentral:rRNA from 2 species